CCUUCGUGUUCCGUGAGGAGCUCAAACAAGUUUUUGACCAAGCAAUCUCAAAGCUGAACCCCGAGAACAAGGCCUAUAAAUAUCACGUUAGGAGAAGAAGACAUGACAAGACAAGCUAAAAUCCGAGAAAGAUGGAUCAGUGCACAGGGAAGAGCUCGUGGCCGGAGCUGGUGGGAGUGAAGGGAGAGACGGCGGUGACGACGAUCGAGUGUGAGAAUCCGACCGUCAAAGCUGUCAUCGUCAAGGUUGGAUCGGUAGUUACUGCUGAUUUCCGCUGCGACAGGGUGCGGGUUUGGGUUGACAAGGCUGGAAUCGUCGCGGAGAUUCCUCGUAUUGGGUAGAUGGUGACAAAUACGUAUGGAUAUGUAUUGGAAUCUUAAAUAAGGGAGGCAGAUGUCAUUGUGCCACCAACAUGAAUAAAAGUUAAUGGGCUCGAUCGCAAUUGUUCGUAGUUUGAAGUUUGUGUCGUUUAUCGUUUUCAUCAAUUAAAGGCUAAAUUUGCGUCGUUUAGCGUUUCGUAACCAACAUGCUUUGAAUGCGUGCGUAGACUUGAUCGAAACCUUCAAGAUUUGCCGUUCUGCAGAGAGAUUGAGCCCGAAAAAUAAUGUAAUUCUUGAAAUGAUGAUCACUUGGGGGGACAAAUGGCAAGCAGAUCUAUCUAUCUAUCUAUCUAUCUAUCUUUUCUGCAGAAUUCUGUAGAAGUUGACCUCGCUAAGAGCAGGCAAGAGAAGACAAGAUCUCAACAACUCUCAGCAGCUGUGUUCCUUCCUACCUAAACAAUUUGGCGUAGCUUCGUACUUGUCCACGUUGCAUGUCCUACGACUGUGCACGUACUGCAUGCAGCGAAACCAUAUCUGAAGCUGGACUUCCGAAGCUCAGCUCACGUGAACUGCUUGUUCUUAUUCUGUGCAUCUUUGACAUCCAAGAAGUCACCUUAACUUGAUGCUGCCUAUAAGAACAAAUCCUCUCGACUCAAUCCCCACACGCAGAAGAGGUAAAAGAAAGAGGCGUAUCCUUCGAUCCUCCAUUAGAAGAUCUAAGGAUAAAAGGAAGAUGCAAAACAUAUGCGCUGGGAAGUAUUCAUGGC